GAUUGCAACCACGGCACAGGUGCCAGCGCAAGCUGGCGAAUAGGGAAUUCGGUGCCGCCGUGCAGGCUCGUAAAAGUGACGUCUGCAUGGCCAUUCCGAAGCUGCCCCCGCAACUGUCAGCGGUGAGCCGUUGUCCAAUAUGCCACUGAGCGAAGGCUUUUCAGCCGGGCUUGGGAAGGCGGACAACGGCGACGAUCCGCGAGCCAGGAGACCUGCCUGUACCGGUCAUCCUUCC
rnacentral:ncRNA from 17 species